rnacentral:lncRNA from 1 species
GCUCUUCCUUCAGGCUUGGCGCCACUAGUGCGAAGCUGCCAAGAAAUACUUUAUUCCGACAUCACAGGAGACAUUACAAAAGUCACAACAGUGAUGCUGUGGGGCGAAAGCAAAAAGCCAUUAAGGCUUGACGAAGGCUUUCGCACCAUUUGACAACAUAGCAACAGCAGCAUGAGAUCAUCAGUUAUUAUACAAUAUCAAAACAUGUACUUCAAGGUCAUGCCGAUUUGCAUUUUAUUAACACGUUGAAAAACAUUUACAGAACGGAGCAGUAUAAAUGGUUUAUUGUAAGAAACUGUUUAAGGUUAGUGGCAGUAAGUAGCUCAUCAUCU